rnacentral:ribozyme from 1 species
AACUCUAAAACGUCCACCUCCACGUGGUUAGAGUUGGGCAACGUUAAACAUUAACGGCUAACGGACGA